GAUCUCGAAAGAUGCGCAUGCGUUUAAGGGAGUAGACAUUAUUCAGUCUGAUCAUUAUGGCUUUUUUCUUUUUUCUUUCUUUAUCAACGUGUUUAAUAUCCACAUUUUUGGCGUGAAAUAAUGACCGAAACAUAUUUCUUUUUAUAGUUGAACAAUUCGAACUUUCAAAUAUGUAAACAUAAAGUGAAAUUACUUCUGAUAAGAGAACAUCUUUAAUGUACGAUCGCUAAACACCGGUAAAUCCAAAUGAAAAAUUGGUAGACAUGUGUGUGUGUGCUUAAGGAUGAAUCAUCGAUUUGCUAUUAAAGAAGGAUCAAUUAAGGAUAUUAUUAAUGCAAAGGUAUCUUUAUAGUAUCUAUGGAAAUAUCACGAGAAUUUCAUACUGUAUAAUUAAGUUUAUCUAUUGAAGAAACUUUGUAAUAUGAAAUUAACUGAAAGUGGCAAUACUGUAAGAGCAUAUUAAUGAUAAUGUUGAAUCUCGUUGAAUGAUUAAUUAUUUUUAAGGGAUAAUUUUGAAAGAAAAAACAUAUAAUGAUAGUACUUCUAUGCGAUUUAACAGAAUCAUUUGAUACGUUCAUAAUGUUGUUGAAAGAUCAUUAUAAAAAUGAGCUUACUUUGGAAUUAGACAAAUUAAUAGAUAAAAAAGUUUCGAGAAAGAAUCAUUUAAGGUAUAGCAUGAAAAAAUCCGACGAUAUAACGUUGUAUAUAUUAAGAAAUCAAGCACAAUAUAUAAUCAGGUGUAAGGAAAUAAAGGAUAAAUUCUACAGUAAUUUAGUCGUCGUAUGUUACUUUCAUAAUAAUUUAGGACAUAUAAAGAGGUUAUGUCGAAUGUAUAAUAAAUGGAAGGAGAAAAGUUGAAAGGAAAAAGAUCAGUUAAGUUAUAGGUUAUGAUAAUGUAUGUGUGUCUUCAUGAUCAUAAAUAUCGUUCAAACGAUCUAGAUUGAUUCAGGAACAUAUAUCAAUUGAAAGAUACAAAUAAUGCUUUAUUAGCAAUAACAAGACAACAUUCUAUAAAUUGUUAACACAUGUGAAAGUUAGGAUAUAAGGACUACGAUAAGACUACGAUAAGGACAAUUCAUGCAUUGGUAUUCAAGACCGUAGUUAAAAAGAUUACUAUGAAGAACUAAAUGAUCAAGGAGAUCUGCUAUGGUACAUAUCUGAGAAGGAUAAUAAUCAAGAAAGCUUUUCCACAAAAAUCUGUAAGUAAGUUUGAGUCCAUACUAAAGUACAGAUGUUUGCGAAAACAUUGGAAACAAUGAGAUCAAAUCAAAAUCUAACAUUGAUCAAUGAUUAUGGUAGAUAUAGAUUAUGGUAGAUCUUAAGACUUUUGGAUUGGAUAAAGGUACAGAGUAUAUCAAUAAAGGUUUAAAAGAUUUCUUUGAGAAGAAAUUGUAGUCAAAGGAAAAAAAUAGAUCUCUUUUGGAAAUGUUUAUAAAUUGAUGCCAAAAUUAAGGAAAAAAUAUCGGGGAGAGGAGGGGAAGACUAUCAAUUUUUUCAACUAUUUGCAAAACAUUCAUUAAAUCUACAGGAAUAAUAUCUCAAUGGAGAAAUGGAUUAGAAUGAAAUGAUUUCAAUAAACAUUAUAAAAGAUAUUGUCUUUUGAAUAUGAACAGAAUAAUUAUAAGUCAUGAUCUGAUAUUUAUGGAUUCAUUUAAUAAAGGAUAACAAUGAAAUAACAAUAAGUCUUCUUAAUGCUAUUCCAUCCUAUAUAGAAAUGAAUGAUUAAGAAAAAGCCAAAGACCACAUUGAAGAUAAAAAAGAAGACUAUAUCAAAGAUGAAAUUGUGUGACAUUAAAGAAUAGGAGCAAACUACAAAAAUUAUAUAUCAAGAAUACAGACAGUUCAGUUCAGACAAUUUUGUAAGAUACACUCAUACCAUGAACUGAUAAGUGGUUUAAUAUAUCUACCAAUUGUGCCUACACCUGACAUAUUAUGCAGUAAGUUAUUUAAAUCAAUAUUAAUUGAUACAGGAGAUCACAUUGGAAAACAGCUAAAAGAAUACUUAAAUGUAUUAAAGGCAUUGAUCAUUAUUUUAUAUCUUAUCAAUCAGGUUCUAUUUCAUGGGAAUUAAGAAAGCAAUGGACUGUUGCUUUAUCAACUAAGGAGACAGAAUACAUGGUGAUUACAAGUGCUAUUAAAAAGGAACUUUUAAGGAACUGGAAUUAGUUAUCAAAUCUGACGUCACUAUUUAUAAUGAUGAUCCAAGAGCAUUGAAAUUCUCAAGGAAUUUAAUAUGCCAUGGGAAAUUCAGGUUACAGUAUUUAUGUACGAAAAAUAUGAUUGCCCAAGUUUUAAUCAAAGCAUUAAACAUUUCAAAACAUAUCAAGUGUUUUAAAAGGUUUACAUUUAAUUAGUUAAGUUCUUUUAGCGUUCAAUUUAAAAGAUAGUAUUGAAUGUAUAAAUUAAAUAUGAACGUGAAAAUUUUUAUACACUUGACAUCCUGUUGU